rnacentral:tRNA from 1 species
GCAUUGUGGUUCAGUGGUAGAAUUCUAGCUUGCCAUGUUGGAGACCUGGGUUCGAUUCCCAGCCAAUGCC